GCUCAACUUGCCCGUAAUAUAAAUACGAUACAUAUGCCAAGGAAUAUCUACUUUGGUUAUGGGGUGAAAUUCAAUUAGCAAUUUUCCGGAUGGAGGUUUAGUCAAUUUGCAAAAAAAAAAAAAACGAUUUUGUUGAAAGACGUUUAACUCCACAAUAAACGAUGAAUUUGAAUUUAAAUUUGAAUUUCUCGGUAAUUCGAAGUCAUUAUCAGCGGAUCUAAUGCAACUCUGAUCACGGCAAAGCUACAAUUAGAGCUUUAAGUGCAUGGUAGCUUUAGCACUGCACUUACUCCCUGAUGGAGUUCUUUUCUCUUUUGGCCGUCGCAAUGAUCAGCAGUGGAGUCUGCGAAAAAAUGAUCUUCUUUUAUUUUCAAGAAAAACGAGGCAAAUCUAGCGUCCCACAUUGCCACGGGCAGCUCUUACAGGGCACGUCUCUGCGGAUAGCGAUCCACAGUGACUUAGAUCGGGGUUCUAUACAUCGAUACUCUACAUAUACCAGUGCAACUGCAGAGCAACUAUAAUUAAAGAACUUAUCAAAAAUGCAACAUCCAUAAAUAGUAUUGCCCAAUUUACAUAUUACAAUACACAUACAUUCACACAGUUCUAUAUUAUAAAUUAAAUUUGAAUUUAUUAUUUUCUUUUUAUUUACACUUGCUUAUGUGAACGUAUAUCAACAAAUACAAACAUACUUAAUACCCUAUAAAUUGCACAAUCCA